UACGGCCACAUUACGUUAAAACAUCAGUUCCCGUAUGAUCACCGAAGUUAAGCGACGUCGAGCCUCGUCAGUAACUCGAUGGGUAACCGCUGGAGAAUACCAAGUGCUGUAAG